rnacentral:lncRNA from 1 species
CUCAUUUAAAAGUACAACUUUAUUUUAUUGCAACUUUAAAAUUACGGUUUUCCUUGUCUCCUUCCUACCUAUCUUCUCUUUUCUUCUAUCUUACCUCACACCCAGCCCCCUUGCUGGCUCUAAGAGAAAAGAUGAGUGAGACCGGCUUGGUGCGCUGAGACCCGGAUCUCUGGAUUUGCUUUCCAGGAGCCCUGAAUGCCAGGAAAGGAGUCAGGGCAGAGCUGCCUGGCGCAGCUCAAAAGCCAGAGCCAGGCAAAUUUGUCCCUCAGGUAUCACCAGUUUGAGACUCGUGAGACUUAACCCUUCCCUUACGUUUCAGAGCAGACCAGAGAGGGCGAAAGACCACUCCCAGAGCUGAACGGGAGAAUCCUGAUGCCGACGGGGGAGGGCACCCAGGGACAGCCGAGAAAACUGAGGCUGCGAGAGCCUCGUCUUCUACCUCAGACUCCACAUACCCGGUUAUCGUGAACCAGACCCACAUCGGCCGACCACUUCCAGGCCUCUGCUUCUGUUCUACUCCGAAUGCCAACCUGCUCCAGGGCCUUAGUGAACUCCUCUUCAGCCUACAGAGCCCAAUGCCACAAUGACUAGGCUGUGAGGAUCUCCCUCUGCUAUGUGAGGACACUUAGAAGAAGCCAUUUACAAGCAGCAGGCCUCCUUUAACAGACCCCAGAUCGGGUGGACUUCCCUCCCCCAGAGCUAUAAGCAAUGCCUCUCUGUAUGGGGAUUAACCGUAGUGCGGGGUGUUGUUAUGCAGCAGAAACGGACUGAGACAGCCUCCCCGGCUCUCUCACAAGCUCUGAUCGCGGUUCCCAUUGUGGCCUCACAAUACACCUAAAUCCGCCUGCCUUUCCUGUUCCUUGAGGUCUCCCCUUCUUCUCCUCUGUGUCCCCAAGCCUGGUGUGGACGCAGCACACAGUAGGUGCUCAAGAAACAGUUUGAGAUGCGAAACCACACCAGGUUAGGUUUGUCACUUUCUGUUUCCCCUGCUAGAUCAGGAGCAUCCCGGGGGUAGAGUUUAAUGUGUCACCUGCCCAGGGGACGUCCUCAGAGAGGUUCGGAAGGAACGAACAAAGACAAGCACCCCUCAGGGAAAGCAUGAGCCCCG